rnacentral:rRNA from 1 species
GAUCUGGUCAGGACGAACCGGCGUGUUAACCAGCAAGUGAACGAAGCCUUCGGUGGAUCAUGAACGUAAGGGGCAAUUGCCCUCUUGGCAAGCCCUGGAAACGGGGUUAACCGGAUAUGACCUCUCGCGGAGGGUGGAAAGCUCGCGGUCAGAACCCGCCAUCAGUUGGAGCCCCAAGGGAGCUAGGGCGCCGGCCACACUGGGACUGAGACACGGCCCAGACUCCUACGGGAGGCAGCAGUGGGGAAUAUUGCACAAUGGGCGAAAGCCUGAUGCAGCGACGCCGCGUGAGGGAUGACGGCCUUCGGGUUGUAAACCUCUUUCAGCAGGGAAGAAGCGCAAGUGACGGUACCUGCAGAAGAAGCACCGGCUAACUACGUGCCAGCAGCCGCGGUAAUACGUAGGGUGCGAGCGUUGUCCGGAAUUAUUGGGCGUAAAGAGCUCGUAGGCGGCUUGUCGCGUCGGAUGUGAAAGCCCGGGGCUUAACUCCGGGUUGCAUUCGAACGGGCAGGCUAGAGUUCGAGAUCGACGUAGCGAAUGCGCAGAUAUCAGGAGGAACACCGGGCGAAGGCGGGGCCGAUACAGAAG